rnacentral:rRNA from 1 species
GGUUAAGCGACUAAGCGUACACGGUGGAUGCCCUGGCAGUCAGAGGCGAUGAAGGACGUGCUAAUCUGCGAUAAGCGCCGGUAAGGUGAUAUGAACCGUUAUAACCGGCGAUUUCCGAAUGGGGAAACCCAGUGUGACUCGUCACACUAUCAUUAACUGAAUCCAUAGGUUAAUGAGGCGAACCGGGGGAACUGAAACAUCUAAGUACCCCGAGGAAAAGAAAUCAACCGAGAUUCCCCCAGUAGCGGCGAGCGAACGGGGAGGAGCCCAGAGCCUGAAUCAGCAUGUGUGUUAGUGGAAGCGUCUGGAAAGGCGCGCGAUACAGGGUGACAGCCCCGUACACAAAAGCGCAUGUGCUGUGAGCUCGAUGAGUAGGGCGGGACACGUGGUAUCCUGUCUGAAUAUGGGGGGACCAUCCUCCAAGGCUAAAUACUCCUGACUGACCGAUAGUGAACCAGUACCGUGAGGGAAAGGCGAAAAGAACCCCGGCGAGGGGAGUGAAAAAGAACCUGAAACCGUGU